ACCCCCUCAGGAUAGCACCUGGAGAGUUUCCAGUAGUCCACCAGGCUCGGCUAUGGGAGGGAGAGUCAAGCAGAGGCCUACCCAUUCCAUUCCUAGCCCGGGCAGUGGCUAGCGGGUGGAAGGCAAUCUGCUAAAGUC